rnacentral:rRNA from 1 species
UACGUAGGGUGCAAGCGUUGUCCGGAAUUAUUGGGCGUAAAGAGCUCGUAGGCGGUUUGUCGCGUCUGCUGUGAAAACUCGGGGCUCAACUCCGAGCUUGCAGUGGGUACGGGCAGACUAGAGUGCGGUAGGGGAGACUGGAAUUCCUGGUGUAGCGGUGGAAUGCGCAGAUAUCAGGAGGAACACCGGUGGCGAAGGCGGGCCUCUGGGCCGUAACUGACGCUGAGGAGCGAAAGCAUGGGGAGCGAACAGG